CCCGGUCCUCGACAGUGGUCCACGGAAUCCCCGCAGCCUCGCUGCCGCGGCCGUGGACUUCGAUCGAAGACCGUG
rfam:Kocuria palustris PEL contig_8, whole genome shotgun sequence.